rnacentral:rRNA from 1 species
UACAGAGGGUGCAAGCGUUGUUCGGAAUUAUUGGGCGUAAAGCGCGUGUAGGCGGCUUGGCAAGUCGGGUGUGAAAGCCCUCAGCUCAACUGAGGAAGUGCGCCCGAAACUGCUGAGCUCGAGUGCCGGAGAGGGUGGCGGAAUUCCCCAAGUAGAGGUGAAAUUCGUAGAUAUGGGGAGGAACACCGGUGGCGAAGGCGGCCACCUGGACGGUCACUGACGCUGAGACGCGAAAGCGUGGGUAGCGAACAGG